GAAGGAGCGAUUUAUUUUUCACAAUUUUUACAACAAUUUUUUUCACAUUUUUCCAUCUUUUCCGCCGUACAAUACAGCGCAACCUAUGUAGUUUAUACCUGACACUAUUGCUGUAUCAUUUAAUCAUGGCUACGUGUUAAUCUGAUGGACUGCACAGCCAAAUGUCGGCUGUCCUUCCAUGCUGACGUGGUUCUGUCUGUUGUGACCCG